GCAGUCACUGCCGCGGAUAGGGGGAGAGCUUGAAGUAGCGGCUCUACCUCAGUCGGGUCCAGCACACCCGUUCUAACCUCUGCAACAACAAUGAGCGAGGCAACCAAGGACAAAACAAUACAGAUGAUUACGAUCUUUCACUUACCCUGAAGAGCCGCCGCGAGCGCUCCAACACUGUAAGCCUAUGACCUUUACUAACAAUCGAGAUUGGUGCGGAAGAGCUGGUCGAGACCGAACGUCUCGAUACCACUUGUUGUAUCCACCUCCACUGUUUAGGUGGUAGUGAAAACUACCGAUUAGUGAAUGAGAAGAGGCUAAAUGCCUCUGCGUUAGGACGACCCGUACAGAAGUCUGUACGGUCCGAAGAUAUAGUCGUCAACGCGAAUUAUCACCAAUCGGUGCAAUCGUAACCCAAGUGGGUCUACCAGUGACAAGUGUCACGAUUAUAGCAAGAGCGCUAUAAUCCAGUAUCACGCGUGAUAAAGACAGGCAAGUGCCCGCUUAAAGAUGGGCCAGCGCCCAAGUAAGGAUAGGCAAGUGCCCAAUGGUUAACCAAAUAAGAGCGAAGAUAUUGCCCAGCGGCAAAGUACCAGAGAAUUGGGGAAAGAUCCGAGGGUUAAUAUGCAAGUGUGCCACAACACCACGAAUGCGAAUUGAUCCGACAAUCUUUGCGGCAAUCGAAUCCCGUAUUGGGAGGACGAUUACGUUUGACGCUUGUGCAAGUGACGACGGCAGUAUUGCCGUAUGUAAAUCUUUUGGAUCCGAAUCGCGUCAAUUUCUGUCGCUUGAUUGCUCCGGCCACACCUUAUGGCUUAAUCCGCCAGUUAGAAAGCUUUACGCUUAUUUGAGACACUAUCGACGUUGCAAAGAACAUGAUCCUAGUAUGGCAGCUUGUACUUUAGUGCCUGAAACGCCAGGGAAGUUUCGCACUUUCCUAGAAGGCAUGACGUUGCUUCAGACUUUUCCGAAAGGCACUCGACUGUACACAGCUUCCUACCCAGGAUGUCCAGAACCUCCUCCACUGACAGAACCUUUGCAACUGUGGUAUGAUUCCCCUUCUCCAGAACAGCGAUUGAAUCCUAGUUGUUGCUUGACAGAGAAAGAUGCGUAUUUAGACCUGUUCCCAGGGAAACUCAGUGAGACAUCAGUACGCAUUCUUCCCGAUACAGGCGCAACACACUGUUUCAUCGCUAAGGCUUUGGCAGACCGUCUUGGAUUAGCCUUAGAACCUUCGCCAUGCGCGCCAGUACGACUUGCUGAUGCAUCGUACGCGUCCGUCGCUGGUGAAUGUAAAACUCGCCUUCGCAUCGGAAGAUUUCGAGCCGAAGUCCGUUUCCUCGUGCUGCCGACGUUAACCACGUCCGCUGAUGUUGUUUUGGGUCAGAAGUUUCUGAGAAGAUACCGCGCAGAAUUAAGACCCGCGGAAGGUUCCUUGAGAUUGAGACGACUCACGGGACUUUCGAUCGGAGAAUGUGCCAUCAGUCACGCUUCUUGAGAAAAGACCUGAGACAAUUCAGAUCGUCUCGCCGAAAAGAGUUUUUCGAGAUUUGAACGAAGCUGGCUGUCGAUCGUUGCUUGUUGUUGUGAAGCANNNNNNNNNNNNNNNNNNNNNNNNNNNNNNNNNNNNNNNNNNNNNNNNNNGUCCCGCAACAGCGUAGGCAGGCAAAGUGGAACGAGCAUCAGGUGCGCCCGACGCCAUGUCUACGCCAUUAUGGUCGCCGCCCAAAUUAAACGGGGCGGGGCUAAACAUUUUAGCUAACUGAGAAGGGCCUACCCUUAUACAGCAAUGACGCAGUCACUGCCGCGGAUAGGGGGAGAGCUUGAAGUAGCGGCUCUACCUCAGUCGGGUCCAGCACACCCGUUCUAACCUCUGCAACAACAAUGAGCGAGGCAACCAAGGACAAAACAAUACAGAUGAUUACGAUCUUUCACUUACCCUGAAGAGCCGCCGCGAGCGCUCCAACACUGUAAGCCUAUGACCUUUACUAACAAUCGAGAUUGGUGCGGAAGAGCUGGUCGAGACCGAACGUCUCGAUACCACUUGUUGUAUCCACCUCCACUGUUUAGG
rnacentral:lncRNA from 1 species